ACCUAAAAUCACUUCAUGAUUCUCAAGGCAGACAACAAUCAGAUCCGCAUGCAUUACCCUGUCUGUGAUCAACAAUCAGAUCCGCAUGCAUUACCCUGUCUGUGAUCAAUAAUCAGAUCCGCAGGCAUUACCCUGUCUGUGAUCAAUACCGGGAUUCCCUUUAUCAGCCCUAGUGAAUGCAUCACUUUCCCUCCGGCCGCAUUCACUAUGCAAGGAUCAUCCCCAGUUCCUGUCCGGAACAAACCUUUUCCAAUCAUUCUGGGGCUCACAAAGCUAUGUGUAGCUCCAGUGUCAAACAAUACGUGUGUUUCCACACCACCAAUACUCAAGGUCCCUUCACAAGUUCCAU
rnacentral:lncRNA from 1 species